CAAGCAAGAUCCUACCACCUAUAGGUCCCAUAAUCUCCACAGUGUAUAUGCAUAUACAUGCCCUUCUCAGGGACCCAACACUGGGCAUUAGUGUUACUGACUUGGUUCCUGUUUAACAGAGGUACAGGAAGCGGUCACUUGCUCUAGCUAGGUAUAACCCGGGAGGUAGAAGACCUGGAAUUAGCUCCUCCCAUCAUCUUCUCCCAGACUCUGGUUAUCCUUCUGCCUAUUGGACAUGAGUUUGGCCCAGUUCCACUAGGAUGGGAAAGCCGCAGUCAAACGGAAAUAGCCGAAUGGCCCUCGGGACCCUGUUUCUGUCGUUGCCGUGUUGUCAGGACACAGACCUUCAGUGCCAGCUGUGCGACUUCUCUUCCCCCUGAGCGCAGGCCUGAAAGACAGAAGAGUGGAGGAAAACGCUCUCCAGUCUCCUGUUCCCUCCCCAGUAAGUGAAGAUGGAGAAUUUUCAACAUAGAUACGUGUUUUAUCUCUUGCAGCUGAACUGAGUCGUGAGAGGAACUAUCUUGCUGAAUCACUGGCUUGUGGGACUUUUGAGUUUGUGUCUCUGGGGGUCAGCCAGGUCUUUGACACAGGGUGAAAUAAGAAAUAACCAACGGUUACGGCUGGUCUUCAUUUCCAAAUUUGGCCGUGAUAAGAAUCACCAAGGAGGCCCACGUAUAAACAGUGAGGAUGUUUCAAGAAAAGUUUAAACGAGGAAGGAAGAUGCACCCUAACCCUCAAAUGUGGGCUGGGGAGACUGAAUAGAGAUUGGAGUGGUGACAACGGCAGUUGGUUGAACAUCAGCUUUCAUCUCUCUCUGCUUCCUGAAUGGAGACACAACUGGCCAGCCACCCCAUAUUUCCAGAGUGCCUUCCUGCCACAGCAGACUACGUCUUCCAAUGGUGGCCAAAACAAACCUUCCCUUUCCUAAUCUGGUUUUGUAGCAGUGUUUUGUCACGACAGUGAAAGAAAUAGAACACAUCAAUGGAGCAACUGAUAAAAACAAUUUUGUUAACCAUAA